GAUGAACGCUGGCGGCGUGCCUAAUACAUGCAAGUCGAGCGAACGGACGAGAAGCUUGCUUCUCUGAUGUUAGCGGCGGACGGGUGAGUAACACGUGGAUAACCUACCUAUAAGACUGGGAUAACUUCGGGAAACCGUAGCUAAUACCGGAUAAUAUUUUGAACCGCAUGGUUCAAAAGUGAAAGACGGUCUUGCUGUCACUUAUAGAUGGAUCCGCGCUGCAUUAGCUAGCUGGUAAGGUAACGGCUUACCAAGGCAACGAUGCAUAGCCGACCUGAGAGGGUGAUCGGCCACACUGGAACUGAGACACGGUCCAGACUCCUACGGGAGGCAGCAGUAGGGAAUCUUCCGCAAUGGGCGAAAGCCUGACGGAGCAACGCCGCGUGAGUGAUGAAGGUCUUCGUAUCGUAAAACUCUGUUAUUAGGGAAGAACAUAUGUGUAAGUAACUGUGCACAUCUUGACGGUACCUAAUCAGAAAGCCACGGCUAACUACGUG
rnacentral:rRNA from 1 species